UCUAUUCGCGCUAUGAACAGUGCACGCGCGCUAGCCUACCGAGAGCCUCCUCUCCUCCCCAAUCUGCCGCCUCCUCUUCUCCUCCUCUCCAAUCCGCCGCCUCCUCUUCUCUUCCUCCUCCUCCUCUCCUCCCCAAUCCGCCGCCUCCUCUUCUCCUCCUCCCCAAUCCGUUAGCCCUCACCACCAUGAAGCCACAAGGGGGGGAGGGGACUGCGCCACCACAGGGGGGAGGGGACUGCGCCGCCGCUGGAAGAAAAUAGGAAGAGGAGGUGGUGCGGGGGAGACCAGCGGCAGCGACGGCGCAUCGACGUACUCGACCACGAAGCGAGCCAGAGCGCGGGCUGCUGUGAGCGUUGCGUCGCCUAGGAUCCACCAUGGAGCAGGUGCUCUUCUCCUCCCCAAUCCGCGAGGAGGCCGGCGUUGGGGGAAGGAGCAGCCAUGGCGUGGAGGAGGCGACCGGAGAUGGAUGGAUCUGGCCGGCACAGAUUGCCUGCACUGCCUUCUUUUUGGGCUGCAACGGUGGACGUUUUCUCACCUUGUGCUCUCUGUCCGGCGAUCUUCGUCAGCUUGCUCGUCCUUGCUGUCCUCACUACAUCGAUGGUUGAUGACAAGCAGGAAUUGUGAUUUUGCCGAUAUACAUAUCUACAACAUGAGUUGCCAUGAAAGGUAUCUUUUCAUCCAGCUCAUUUACUUGUUUGGUUUUUAUCAGGUGAUGAAGUUGACAGACCUCUUAUUUUAUUGAGAUGUAUGGUUAUGCCUAGAGUUGCAGUUUCAACAUUACAAUCAACAUUAAAAUGCACAGGCACUGGACCAAUGGCACUUGCUUGGUUCAGAAUUUUAUAUCAACAAUACUUGCUUGGUCCUUGACUAGACAUGAGUUGCUUUCUCUUUUGUGGUGACUGCCAAAGAACAAAUCUCUUUGUUUCUACAAAUAUGUGAUGCUUUCUAUAGCAGGCAAGAUGUCUGAGGAAAUGCACAAAAGGGAAUAGGAUCUUGCUAGAUGGUAAUGUUCAGAACCUGUUUUGGGACUCAAGGGCAUGUGAGCAAGGGGAGCAUUCUGUGAGUAAGAACCCUAUCAUAGAUGGAUAAUUUAUGAUUAUGGCAUCUUUUGUCUUGACAGUCGACCAUUUUAUUUGUAGAGAUAUUUGCUCCUCACGGUAUUCUUCGGUUUCUACAGAAUUUACAAGACAUAAUAGAGCAUGCUCUUUCCUUUUCUGCCUAUGACAUAUGCUUUUAGAUUUGGAGGUGGGCUGUUAAAGUAGCUAUACACUGACCUCACACGUAAGCGAUGCUAAGGAUCUUCUCAGAUGCUCAUUACUAAACUGAUGGCUGAAGUCUGACGAAAUCUAUACAAAGUGGGUAGCUUGUCUGUUGUACCGCUGAAGCUUAUUGGAAACAUACUAACUGUCCAACAGUAACGAACUUCAGGCUCGUGAAUGAUUUCAGGCUGUUCGCCGCCGCUGAAGAAAAUAGGAAAAGGAGGUGGCGUGGGGGAGACCAGCGGCAGCGACGGCGCAUCGACGUGCUCGACGAGGCGAGCCAGAGCGCGGGCUGCUGUGAGUGCUGCGUCGCCUGGGAGCCACCGUUGAGCAGGUGCUCUUCUCCUCCCCAAUCCGUGAGCCGUCACCACCAAGAAGCAACGGGGGGACUGCACCGCCGCUUACCUCCACCCGCCACAGUUUGUUUUUCUCUCGUCCCCUGCUGCUACUUCCUCGUUGCUCUCAAAUGAGUCUGUUAGAGUAUGUAAUGGGCCUGGGCUGGCGGUAUAGCCCGUUAGUCUUAGGGUUAAUUAGAGAUAAGGGUCGCUUGCUGCAAGGCUUGAUGGCUUCUUCAAUCAUCGUCAACAGCACGGUCCAGGGUGAGACUUUUCUCUCCGGACAGAUCUUCGUGUUCGGCGGCUUUGCACUGCGGGUCAAUUCGCUUGGCCAACUGGAGCAGAUCGAUAGCAACGCCCCUGGCCACCAGGUUAGGUUCGGAAACCUGAACUACACGACCGACAUCCAUGGAGACUUGAUCUUCAACGAGUCCGGGCCUGCGCCAGGAGCGUCGGACAAUCACGAUGAGCGCGGCCUAGACCUGCUGUCGGAUAAUGCUCGGGAUAUCACCCCUGCAGUGGCCCCGGACCUAAAUCUGGAGCAGACUGCAUUGCCCAAGGACGGGUGGAUGGA